rnacentral:rRNA from 1 species
UACGUAGGGUGCAAGCGUUGUCCGGAAUUAUUGGGCGUAAAGAGCUCGUAGGCGGUUCGUCGCGUCGGCUGUGAAAACCUGAGGCUCAACCUCAGGCCUGCAGUCGAUACGGGCGGACUUGAGUACUGCAGGGGGGACUGGAAUUCCUGGUGUAGCGGUGAAAUGCGCAGAUAUCAGGAGGAACACCGGUGGCGAAGGCGGUUCUCUGGGAAUGACCUGACGCUGAGGAGCGAAAGUGUGGGGAGCGAACAGG